AAUAGUUUUAUGCCGCAUCAGCAUUAUCAUCCUAAAUUUCAGCAUUUUCAUCUUGAAAAAAAUCAAAUCUAAAUUAAAAUGCUGAAAUUUAGGAUGAUAAUGCUGAUGCGGCAUAAAACUAUU
rfam:Gossypium hirsutum cultivar TM-1 unplaced genomic scaffold scaffold743.1, whole genome shotgun sequence